GUAGGUGGCAAGCGUUGUCCGGAAUUAUUGGGCGUAAAGCGCGCGCAGGUGGUCUUUAAGUCUGAUGUGAAAGCCCCCGGGCUCAACCGGGGAGGGUCAUUGGAAACUGGGGAACUUGAGUGCAGGAGAGGAAAGUGGAAUUCCACGUGUAGCGGUGAAAUGCGUAGAUAUGUGGAGGAACACCAGUGGCGAAGGCGACUUUCUGGCCUGUAACUGACACUGAGGCGCGAAAGCGUGGGGAGCAAACAGGAUUAGAUACCCUGGUAGUCCACGCCGUAAACGAUGAGUGCUAAGUGUUGGGGGGUUUCCGGCCCCUCAGUGCUGCAGCUAACGCAUUAAGCACUCCGCCUGGGGAGUACGGUCGCAAAGACUG
rnacentral:rRNA from 1 species